UCUGGGAAAAGAAAUCACCUUUACUGCUGGACCCAUCUGCAAGGGGAUGGGGACGUAUGCCCUCAGAUGUGUCUCGCCGAUCCAGGGCUUGGGGCACAGUUUAAGGGAUGAAGGGCAGGACGGUCUGACGUGUGGAGGUAGAUGACGGAGGGGAGGAGAGUCCCAGGCAAGCUCCUGUGAGAGAAGCAAAGUAUCUGUCUGACCAGAGGCAGCUUUCAAGGAACCUCCACGUCUGCCGGGAGAGAGAGGACCGCUCCCCGCACAGCUGUAAGUGAAGAAUAAAUGCCGAGAAGAGGAACUUCUGAUCAAGGAUUACAAACAUUUUAUGCCAAGCUGUCCUGCAGAAAGAUUGGGCUCGACUCCAAGGAGGAGUCAUUUGCGGAUGCUGGGUGUUUUAUUUUGGGGACGUAGUGGGGGAGGCCUGAGCUGUCAGAUGGCACCAGGAGGCAACGGCAACUUUAGGGUGGGAGGAGGUGACCGGGGCGGCUAAGUUUGAAGGUGCCACUGGGACUUGGUGGGGGGUAGAGACAGCUCGCCCCUUUGCCUGAGGUGGUCCUGGUCCUGUGUCUGUCCAGGGCUGGUGCCGAUGGCACGCCCAGUGUGCCCAUGACUGUGACGGCAUCAGCAAAUUCCUGCUGGUUGUCAUUUUGCCAUCUGAGUUAACUCUCUCAGAGGCAUUCGCUGAGCAUCCCUUUGUGGGUGGGCGUUUUGGGCUUAAAGGACCCAGAGAAAGUGGGACCCUAGAAAGAAGGUGAGGCCUGAGGAAAGCGGCUGUGGGGCUGCAUGUUCCUGGGUUUGAGUCCUGAUUCGGCCACUGUGUGUUUGGGGCACGGUAUGGAGCCUCCCUGACCUCAGGGUCCUGAAAACCAGGGUGAGGGUCAGCAUCCUCUUCCAGCACCUGCUGGUGUUGAGGGUGCUGCCCCGUGCUGGGCGGGCACUUAGGGGGAGCAGGUGGCAAUGCCAUGGACCGAG
rnacentral:lncRNA from 1 species